rnacentral:rRNA from 1 species
UACGUAGGAGACGAGCGUUGUCCGGAGUUACUGGGCGUAAAGAGCGUGUAGGCGGCCAGAUAGGUCCGUUGUGAAAACUGGAGGCUUAACCUCCAGCUGUCGAUGGAAACCAUCUGGCUAGAGUCCGGAAGAGGAGAGUGGAAUUCCCGGUGUAGCGGUGAAAUGCGCAGAUAUCGGGAAGAACACCCGUGGCGAAGGCGGCUCUCUGGGACGGUACUGACGCUGAGACGCGAAAGCGUGGGGAGCGAACAGG